GACCGCGUAGCUAAAGUUGGCAGAGCAUUGGGCUAGUAUUCCAAAGGUCGUAGGUUCGAUUCCCACCGUGGUCA